UCACAUUUGAAACCAUGUUUGUUUACUUAUAUAUGUUAUUGGAUUUUUUUGAUGCGCUUCAGAUAUAUUUUAUUUUCUGGUACAAAAUAUGUUGUUAUUGGUAGUGCUUUCUUGAUGUGGCAUUGGUUUUCUGCGAUAGAUUGAGGAUACCAGGUGUUUGACGAAUUGGUUGCAUUUAUGAGGGGGCAAAUUAUUCUUUUGAUUUUUUUGAAAUCAUUCGCUUGUUGAUCCUGGCUAGAGUGAGUGUUUCCAUGCAAGAAGCUGUUGUUUCACUCUAUUAUAGAGUUUCUUUUGAUAAGCCUUAAAAAUUGAUUUGUUUGCCGAUUAAGAAGAAAAUGUCAUGCUAUGGAAAAUUUGUUAUGUCUAUGCAUAAAGUCGCUGUUAAUCAUAAGUAGCAAUUACUUGUUCUUCUCUUCUAUUCAUCACAUGUAAGUUGCACAUGAGAAAGUAGAUCUGAAGCAGAAGAAGUAAAUCAUGAAGAUGGAGUAAUUCAUGUGGUCAUUACUAAUUUACAGGUAUAUCCAUGAUCAGAGAGCUGAGACAGAAACAAGAAUAUGAUUUAAGUGACCCGGGUCUCUUAAUAUCCUCCCAAAACACCCUUGUUAGGUGCCUGCCAUCGCCGCCACCACCACAUCUGCUUCUGCCGCCACUACCAUCUGCUCCGCUCUGUCGGUGUCACAACCCUUGCUACUAGCACGCGUCAGCAGCAGCGGUAGUGAUGGUGGUGGUGGUGGUGGUGGUGGUGGUGGCUGUGGUGAAACAAAAAUGUCUUAAAACUAGCUGAAACUCUUUUGAGGGAGUCUGUUAAAGAUUUUGUGCAAGAGAGAGCAGUUUGAGAAGCAUCAUGGAUGGACAAUAAAGAAAAUGGACAGUAUUAGUAAGACUGUUUAUUCUGAUUCACACAAAUAUUUGAAGGGUUAGACAAAUUCUGGAGAAGGCAGGUAUGCAUUUGCAAGAUCUGCCGAGGCCAGUUGGAGGUGAAGAUUCAGUAGCGUCUAUUCUCCGUUAGAUCCGCCACAGAUCUUUUGUGCACUAAGUUUUCAGCUUGAGGAAUGAAUUGAUUUGGAAGAGUGGUUUAUCCCACUCUUUAAGCUCAGAGUUCGAAAAAAUUGUGGAGAAGGUGUUGUCCAACUAAAGAGAGAUUUAAGGAGAUUGACAUCCCAAUAGCUUCAAGGUGUUAUCUUUGCAAGCAAAAGAUGGAAACGCUAGAUCAUGUGGUUUCAUGGUGUAGCUAGGCUUCGCGUGGAAGUUGGUUAUUGCAGAAUUUGAUAUCCAACCAAAUCUUAGUUUUAUUGCAUUUUAUAUAGCAACAAAAGGUCAAAGCAAAGUGAUCAAUCUGUGGCUGGUCACACCAAACUUGCAGUUAGAGCUGAACUUUGGAGGUUAAGAAAUUCUGGUAAGGUCAGUUUUCAUGUCCUAAAGAUGAAAAUCCACUUGAUUAUCCACGAGAAUUAUAAACGUAUGAAGGGCUGCAUGCAUAACUCUUUUGAGGACUUGGCAACACUAUACUACUUUCAUUUGGCGCAAUCGCAUAAAAGAGUUAGGCGUGCGACUCCCAUUGAAUGCACUCGGCAACUACCUAAUGAAGAUCAGAUUCUGUGAUGGUGCACACGAGGGAAUCCUGGAGUUGCAGGUGCAGGCAGUGUACCUAGAGGUGCAGAUAAUAGUGAGCUUGGUGCUCAAUCUAUUGAGCUGGGGAUCAACACAAAUUAUAUGGCAGAAACUAUCAGAUUAUACAUCUAACAUGUAUUUCAAGAGUAUCUUUUUGUUUGUACUUAUUUAGUAUAUGAAAAGGAGAAACACAGAUACAGAUACUGCACAUC